rnacentral:lncRNA from 1 species
AAAACAGUCUCUAGAGUUCAUUUCAGGCAUCUUUGGUGCAAUUCGAAACAUCUGCAUGCUCAUAGGAGUUCCUGAAGUUGAAUACAAAACAAAGAAAAUAACAGUAGCAUAAAGUAAACUACUACUAUGACAUGCAUCAAAAUUAAAGUUUGCUGGAGGAAAGUAAGGAAUUAAAUGACAUGGAAUCAUACCGUGACUGUCAAUGAUUCCAUCAUCAAUAAGUUUGGGGAUACGAAAUACAAAGGCCACUGAUGCUGCCGAUGAAGGCCAAAAGACAGCCCCCCUGACGUUCAUCUUUUUUGCUACCUCCAUAGACCAACCCGUGUUCCCAUCUGCAAUGAAACAAUCAAUUUUUUCAUCUUCUCUACUGUUGAUCUCUUCUAUGAGCUUCUCCAGCUUCCCCGGCAUAACCUGUAAACAUUUUUCAAUUAGCUUUCCCAAAUCGUUUCUAUCUUCCCAGGGUUCCAUCCCAUCUGGGAUCGAAACCAAACGGAUUUGCUCCGCAAGAUAAUUCUUUCCCUCCAAUGAUUCCACUACCCGCUUGUGAUCAUACUCCGUAUUAACGAAUGUGACUCGGAAGCCAUGUUUUGCCAGACAUUGCGAAAACUCCAGUAAAGGAAUUACAUGGCCCUGUGCUGGAGCAGGCAUCACCAAAACGUGUGGACGGCUCAUUUUCUUUUUUAUUUUUACCUCACUGAUUCGGUUUCUAUCAAUAUAUAAUAUUAUAAUUUGCAACACACGAGUGGUGUUGAUUACGGGGAGGGUUGCAGGUUGGGGCCGGGUUUUCUCAAGAUCAGAUCCAUAUAAUUGAUACUAGAUCCAGUUUUGUGAAUGUUCAUCGAAUUUGAACGGGUUUGGGCCUGGGCCUGACUUGGGCCUUCAAUAAUUUUGUUAAAUAAAUUUUUAAUUAAGCUAUAUGUUAAAAAAAUAUUUAAAUUAAGAUGAUUAUUAUUAUUAAACAAAAAAAAAAUAUUAAUUGCUCCCCUGAAUGGGCCUAGGUCGGUCACCUCUGAGCAAAUAUUUGCAUUUAUUUUUCUUCAUUCCUUUUUCUCUUCUUCUUAUUAUUUAUUAUUGUAAAUUAAAAUUAUUUAUUUUGUAGAUAUUAAUUAUGUUUAUGUAUUGUAAUUUACAUAGAAACUUAAGACUCAUAUUUAUUAAAAAUGAUGUUAAUCCAGAAUGGAUCAAUGGAUUUAACUCUUUCAAUUAAAAAUGAUUUUUUUAAUUUUGUUUUAUUUUUUAAUUUAUAAAUUAAAGAGCCUAGGUUUUUUGCAAAAUCCUUUGACCAGGGCACUCAGAGUGGGUUUUAAAUUUUUUAGCCAUAUCCAUGAUUUUAUGAUGCUAGCUCCAACCUAUACUUUUUUGCAGAUCCUAAUUAAGAGUGAUAUUCUAGCUUAAGAUUUUUAUUUCAAUUCUAUUUGAGUCAAAUGAAAUAAGUAUAAGUUUAAAAAUAUUGAUUUAUUUAAGAAAUAAGUGAAUUUAUUUUGAUUCAUUAAAUAAACGAUUAAAUCUAGGUUUGAGUUCACUUAUUCGAUUAUUCGGUUAAAAUUUAUUUAUUAAUCAAGCCAUAAAUAAAUAGAAUAAUAAAUGACCUUUUUAACAUAAUUACUUUUUUACCAUUAAAAUUCAAAAAUCUUGUUAGAACAUUUUCAAGGUAUACGGUUAGUUUUGUAAUUAUGAAAGAUAAUAAGCCAAACAAGAAAAUGAAAGCAAAGGCAUCAUUACUCAUUAGCCGACCCUAGCUCCACUCUUCAGCACUUGAAUUUGAACACCUGUUUCUUUAUUUCCCAAAUGAAAACGAUCGCCAAACCAAACACUCCCAAAAAAUCAAAUCAAUGGUCUCAUCCAAACUUUUUCGACAAGGUUCACUUCUCUUGUCUAUGGCAAUGACAAGACUUUUUUUUUUUUUUUUUAUUACAUGAGAUUAUUGCUUAAAUUAUAGUUUAAAUUACAACUCAUAUUACAUGAGAGUAUAAUUGAUAUGUACAAUCAUAUAUUUAUACUGAGUCCUGUUGAUAUUAAUGCUGAUAUGACACCGCUCAGAUUUUUAACCCUCUCAAAUAUUCGAGGGAUGUCAAACUCCCAUCCUGGGAGAAAGACUCACUCGAACUCAAACGCUCCAAAAAAAAUAUUUAAAUUAAACCCCUACAAUGCGAUUGCGGAAGCUCGAACCUCUUCCCUCACAAAUGUGAGGGAGGGGUUUUAACCACUUGGGCUUACAUUACAAGACCUUGAAUGGCUACAAUUGGGAUUCUUUUGCUGCUUUUGUCCCCCGCGUGGGAAUUAUUGAUCUCAAUGUUUUGUCGAUUACAAAACAGUGAUUAAGCCUGCUAUUCAGCUUAGAGAUGGCAAAAUUUGGAUUCAAAUUUCGAUGUAACACACAUUUUGAAACUGAAAAAGGUUCAAUAUAGUUACUGCUCCCUGUUGGCAAAUAUGAUAUCAAAGACAGAUACACAAAUAGUCAAAUAUCGACCUGCAUAGGUUAAAAAAAUCAAAAAUGAAAAUGAAGAAUCAUAAAAUUGCAGCAAAUUUAAAUAGCCGUGCAUUCAAUUUCAAAGCAUAAAUGACAUUGAUAUCAAAUCCAAAAUUGAAAGUUUUCCAAAUGCAAAGGACAGAUAAGCCCAAGUGUAAAAGAAAACUAUCAAAUAUCAUUGUAAAUUUAAAUACCCAUCAUACAGAUUUCACCACCUGAAUUUAGGGUAAUUUUUAGAGGCUUCUCUUGAGAUUUGAUGUAUUAACACUUAGAUAGAAAGUAUAACCGUAAUUAUAAAGGCAUCCCCGUCUAUUGUAUUUCCAUUCAAUGACUGUUAGCAGAUCAAUGAAAUGACCAAAAUACACCCUAAAUUUGAAAACACUCUUAUAACAACCACUAGGGUAUUGUUCGUUAAUAGAAUAAAAUAUGUUUUGCUCCUAGUACACGGAUAAAAUAAAAAUAAAUAAAUAAACCAUAACAACCAAAUACAUUACAUACUCAUUAAUUGGAAAAAAAAAUAAAAAAUAUUGGUGAAGAAUUUAACAAUUUCUGAACUUCAAUUAAGAAAAUCAUAUUUGUUUCAAGCAGUUAAAAAAUAAAAAUAGUAUUUCUAUCACAAAACACUCCAUUCUUAACAUUUUUUUUUUCUUAUAGUUCUAUUGAGAUUUACAAAACAACAUAACAUUAGAAAAGAAAAUAUAUAGAUUUAUAGUUGAAGUUACAAACACAAAAAUGUACCAAGUGCAAAAAACAAUUUGAUACAGAACCAACUGAAGAGCUUUUUUGGUUCUUAAGAAUGCUACCAGUUGCACAAUAUUUUGCAGCCAUUUCCUUUGCCUUAAGAAAUUCUUGUCCAACUCUAACUUCAAUCAUUGCCCUUUUCUCUUAUGCUUCUUUGUUUAGUAAAAUCUAUCUUAUUUUUCAUUUUUUAAGCAUAUUCUACCUUCUUCCUUUCUAAUAGUUCCUGUUAAUUACUCAAUAUGUUGAAGAAGAAUCUUAUUAUUUAUAAAUAUGGAAAUUAUCAUUGCACCACUUUUUUUUGCCUUAUAUAUCCAACCACCAUAAAAUUCUAACAUGUUCUCUACACUACAUUUCUUUUUAAAUUUGUAUCAACUAGCCACUUUCUAACUAGCACCGUUAAAUAAUUUAAAUGAAAUGAUAAUUUUACCCCUAAAUAAAUUAAAAGACAUUUUAUCUUAUAAAAGAUUUGAAAAAUAAAAAAUUAUAAUUAUAAAAAUAACCUAAGUUUAAUUAAAAAAUAAAUCCCAAAAUUAGAAUUUUUAUUUUUAAUAAAAAUCUAAAUAAAAAUUAUAAUUAUAAAAAUAAUUGUAAAAUUUUGGGAUUUAAUAAAAAUCCCCUAAAUUAUUAAAAUUUUGGGACUUAUUUUUUAAUAAAUAAAUUCUGUUAUUUUAAUAAAAUUUUGCAAAAUUAUAAUUUUUAAUAAAAAUAAUUAUUAAAAUUUAGCAAAAUUUAAAUUAAAUAAAAAUCAGUUGAGCACCUCUGUUUGGGAUUUAUUUAUUUUAUUAAAUUUAGGGGUAUUUUUAUAAUUAUAAUUUUCUUAUUUUUCAAAGUUUUACAAAUAAUAUGGUCUUUUAAUUUAUUUAGGGGUAAAAUUUUCAUUUCAUUUAAAUUAUUUAACGGUGUUAGUUAAAAAGUGGCUAGUUGAUACAAAUUAAAAAAAAAAAAAGUGGUGCAGAGAACAUAUUAUAAUUUUAUGAUUGUUGGAUGAACAUAAAGCAAAAGAGAGGUGGUGCAAUGAUAAUUUCCCUUAUAAUAAUGUGAGAUUAACCGAAAGCACACUAAAAUGCCAACCCAAAGGACUUUUAUGGUUGUGGGGAAUUCUUUUAAAAACAAAAGCAAUUAAAAUUGAGCUUAUAUUAUGUGUAAAAAAAAAAAAAGAAGGGUGAAUCGGCAUUAACACAUAAAUAAGUAAUGCAUUUCAGGAUAAUCAAGAGCUCCAUAAGUUUGUUUCUAGGCAAAAAUAUAUUUAAUUAAACAUAUCAUAGCAAAGUCAGUAUUUCAUUUUUAAUCAUCUCAUAACAGAACGAAAUCCUAAGCAAUUAUUAGGAAAGAACUAUAAUGAAUAGUGUUUAAAUGAGAAAUCAAACUCAAAGUUUUAUGAAAUUUAGAUCAAACAUAAGUUUACGGACAAAGACUUAUAGUAUCUGGAUAUUCACAACUAGUGCACACUGAUCAAGUUACAGACAGAUACACAAUAUAUAUAUAUAUAUAUAACAUUUAAAACCCAUUUAAAUCGUAUUUGCGAAUAAACUCACUUAAAUCUUAAAUUGUAAUCACAAAUACGAUUCCAAAAAUUAAUUUCAUUAAAAAAAUCUCAAUUUUUUUUAUUUAAUUUUAUUAUAAAAAUUUGGAAUUAUAUUUGCGAUUACAAACCUAAAACCCACUUUUGUUUAACGUAGAAAUCACAUGAAAAUAAUUGAUUUAUAAUACACAAUGGUUUGUUUAGCUCAUCACUAUUGCAAAUUACACUAAAACACAUGCAACAACUUCUUUAACAACUCAAACACUGCAUUAAAUCCAUUUUCAAACACAACAUCAAAUCAACCAAAAGGCUCUAACUUUAACAUUAUUUGAAAAUUUUCAACUUUUAUGAGGUUUAAUAACUCAUUCGUUCCUUAACUGUCGCCAGCAAUGGCCAACCAACGAUAGCAUUUUCCCGCCGCCAUCACUUCGUUGUUCAUCACUCUUCUUUCAAACUGGGGCUUCUUCGAAUUUGAGCUUCAUUUGGCGAGGUUAGAAGCAUAAAGAGAAAAGUUUGGGCAUGUUUGAGACUUUGAGUGGAUGAGUUGAUCGCUAAUUAGCUUGUGUUUGGAAGAUGAAAGAGAAGAUAUGUCCAAUGCAUCUUUGGAACCAGUGGAUAAUGAAGUGCUCAACGGUCAACUCAUCAUGAGGCUGCUUUUGAUUUUUUCAAAAUUUUAGAUAGUUUUUUUUAUGAAAUUACCCUUAUUCAUUGACAAGAUACUAAAUGAAAUAUAAACGGCAGGGGAGAUAUUUAAUAGUGCGUUCAUACUUUUUAUCUAAGUGUUAAUAUGCUAAAUCUCAAGGAAAAUCCCUAAAAAUUACCUCAUGAAUUUAAAUACCUUUUUACUUGUGCUUUUAUGCUAGUUAACAAGCUGCUAUGUUACCAUUGCAUGUAAUAAGAAUGUUAGUUUAGGUUAAAUUUGGGGUUUUAACACUGUAGAAGUGUCCGAAUAUUGAUGAAAAGUUGCUUGUUUUGAUCUAAUUUCCAUGUGAGUAAGUUGAUUGUUUCAUUCUAAUUUCCAUGUGAUUAAGCUAAAGAAACAAUUGCAAGUUAAAAUUUUUCGGUUUUUAUGUGAUUUUAAUCUUUAAAAAAAUGGGUUUUAGGUUAUUUCCACCAUUCUUGAACCUGUGUUUUGAUGUGAAAAACAAUGUAAAGUUCAAAUUGGUGUUAAAAAUAUUUGUAGGUUAUUUUGAUGUUAAAAAAGAGUUUACAUCUAUAAAUCAAUUUUUGAAUUGCAAUUGAUUAUUCCAUUAUUAAGAUUUCGCAUACGUUUCCUUGAAAUUCAGGGGAACGCACUUUAUUGAAAUUUGAUUGUUAUAUUGGUAAUUUCUAAGUAUGGAUAGAUUUAAAUAAAUGUGUUUCCUUGAAAUUUGAAUCAUUGAAGUGAUCUCUAUAAGGAAUUGUAUGCUUGUUAUAUUUUUCUAUGGUUGGACAGCUGCGAUUUGUAAUUACAUUUUUCUUUAUAAAGGAAUUCCCUUAUGGAGGAUGAUGAGAUGCAAUAGUUUCAUGUUUUGUAAAGUUUCAUCAUGGUAAUAGCGGGUAGGUCUGAUCAAACUUCUAUGUUGUAAGAAAAUUAGAUUCUGAUUAAUUUGAGAUUGAAUGCGUGAGGUGGGGAAUAUUGAAUUUUUGAGGAGGGAUUGUUUUUUAUUUGUGCUUGUUAAGGGUAAAAAUUAUUUUGGCAGUGGUUAGCUUCAUAGUUUGUUGCUAGAAAAAUUAAUAUCGAAUUAAGUUUGAUUCUUAAAACAAGAAAAAGUAGAGUAUGAGAAUUUGAUUCUUACGUUUUAAUAAUAUAUGUGUUAUUACAUUGGUCAUUAAGUUUGGAGGCUAAUUUCUUCUUAUGAAAUAUUAUAUCUUAAUAUUUUGUACUAUUAUGUUAUAUGUGCACAUUAAACUCUUAUUAGUGAGGUGAGUCAUCAUGCUUGAAAUUUUUUGAACUUGGUUUCUCUAUAGAAUUGUAUUGAUUUCCUUUAUAAUCCCCACAUGUUUAGAUCCAAUUUGCCUCAUGAUCUUUUAUUUUAUUACCAUACUGUGUAAGAAGACUUACUUUAAAUUACCUUUCAACUUGGUACUGUGGAUUCUCUUUGUUUUUAUGCUAAAAGCUUUUGUGCUCUACUCGUAGGUGUUUUCAAGUUGGCGUUGUUCCUUGAUACAGCUUGAAGGAUGGUUUUUCUCUCUCAGAUUUUGUCUAUGCUUUCCUGAGAAUGUAGUGAUUUCAUUUCCAUCAAGAUGCAAGUAUACCUAAAAAAAAUUAAGAUUUUAUAAUUUUAAAUAUUAAUUAGUUCUCAUAUAUGUGUGUGUGCGAGCGUGUGUGUCUAUCAUCAGUGCAAUAGCAAUUCCUUCAUUGUGGCUCUGAGUCGUUGUUGAUCUGCUUGAUGUUUUUGAACUUUGUGAAUCCAUGAUUUCAAUUUGAUUGUAAUAUUUAUAACUCUGAAAUUGAAUGUAGAGUUGAGCCAUGAAUAAUAGACAUAAUUUGUGUGUACCUUGGGAGGCAAAUGAAGCAUAUGCGGGGUGUGAGAGAUGGUUUGGAAAUGUAACAUAUUUAUAAACAUUGAUCUACCAAUAUAACCUUUAGUUACCAUAUCUUUUUUUAGAAAAAAAAAAAAUCGGGUUGAUUGGUACUAUGGGUAUUUUGGUCAUUUUAACAGUUCACUAACAGUUAAUGACGGUAGGGGAGGUAAGUGAGAGUACAAAGAAACUCGCUAUUUAAGUGUAAUUACCUCAAACCUCAGGGGAGGUUUCUAAAAAUAACCCCCAAAUAUUGAUAACACAAAUUCUUUAUUAAAGAAAAAUAAAAAAAAAGGGAAUUAUUGAUAGUACCACUAAUUCAAGCUUGAAUCAGUAAUUUUUGUCAAACCUUUGGUUACCAUAUCUUUUUGUUCUUUGGGUCCGGAUAUAUUUUCAAUAGCAUAAUCGGUAAAUCUCUUAGUAUAAUCAUUUUGUAUAUGAAAAUUUUGCAUUUACCCUUAAACAAUAUUUUUUUCUUGUCAAUAUUUUGGGCCAAAUGGUAAAACUAAGAAUGAGAAAUUCAUUCUCCCUUAAUAAAAUUAAAUAUGCAUAAUUGAAUCUUCUACAUUUUACCCCUUUUGUGCAAAGAAUCUUGGAAUCAAUUUGAUCUUUAAUCCAGGUCUUUGUGUAAAUUAAACUCAUGUGCUUUUAAAUAUAGAAUUUUGAUUGAAUGAUCUACUAAGUAAUAAUAGAUGUAGCUAGAAAAAGAAUUUACAUUUUGAUCUCUCAGAGAAUACAAGCAAUGCCCCUUGGGGUUUGUCCCCAACCUUGAUCAUCAUCUUCAUCAUUUUUAGAUGAUUAUGAGAGGAAAAGCAACUGGCUCAAACGUUGUAACAAUGAAGUGUCCAAAUUUCAAGCUGCGAUGGCUUUUCUUGCAGCUCUGAGUAGGCCGUAUAAGCUCCCUUGGCCCUCUCAAUUUUCAUUGCAGCAUCGUGUGCCUCUGGCAUUUCUUCACUCACUUCCUGAUCUUCUACCGAUACCGAUAUUCCUUCAUCACUUAGAACCUCAUGUUUUCUUUCUGCUGCUGCCAUAUUCAAAUAUUAGUACCAAUAAGCCUCGGUUUGUUCAUAUGUAAGAAGGUGUUUCGGUAUCAUUCUUUUUAACUUAUUUGUCUUCUCGCUUUUAUAGCAAUGCUAAUUUUAGCAUCGCACUCUGCUACAACUCAUGCUGAUCAAAAUGUUUCAUAUGAUUUCAAUUUUCCUCGUCCCCUCUUUUGCAUAGCACUGAUCGAAUUCCUAGUAUAGAUUCCUUCAUCUGCAGCAAGGCGUUCUGAGAAGUGCGCAAACAUCCAAGAUCCUCAAAGAUCCAUUCAACAGCUCAUCAACCCUUUUCUUCUUCUGGUGGACGUGGGCUAAAGCUUGUUGAACGGGGGGCAAUUGAAGUAUUUUUUUUCUACAGAAUCUCAUGAAUCUUGAAGGCAGUUCAAUUCAUGGCCUAAUGAUGAAGUAGAAGCAGCUUGAGGAGUCCUUAAUAUUCUCAAAUGCUCUUCAACUUCUGAAGUCUGUGGGUGUGAUCUCGUGGAAAGCUGUUUGGUAAGAGGCAGCCAUCGCUUUUGUUGCUGUGAAUUAGAAGACUAGAAGUUGAUUACCCUGUGCUCAAAUCUCAAAAUGUAUAGCACGAGAUGAGGGAACAACAGGUAUCUCAUCUUCUUAAAAUAAAAAGAAACAAUAACAUGAUUUCAAGCUUGAUCUAAAUAGUAUAUCGGCUACUUUUAGGCUCAGUCUCCUCCCAAACCAGCAUCCUCUCUCAGUUUUUUUAGCCGCUAAUCUCACUAGUAUCUUCUCGUAAGCUAAUACUAAAUAAACAAAUGUUUCCGAGUGAUCCAUAAAAUAAGCAAUACAAGGAUGGCAUCAAUUCUGUUUCCUCUUCUAAAAUGCAAGAGACGGUAAUCCAGUUUGGCUUGCCUCCCCGCGGGAAACGGGGUGGCUGUGAAACUCGUGCGUCCUUGCAGAAUUGAUUUAUUUGAACUGGAUAUAAUAUGCAAAAUCUGCAGUGCAUGGAUGGAGUUGAGGCUGCACCUUGAAUGCAUGGAUGGGUAGUUAAGUCGCCAAAUUAAAACAGGCCCAAAAAGGAUCCGCAGUGUUCAUUGCAGGCAUAUUUGGUGCCAAAUGAAUCACUUGUUUCUUAAGAGAUAUUCAUUGUCUGCUAUGAAAAAAAUUACCAAAAUAGGAAAACAAAUUAAAUUAAAACUCAAUUAAAUAAAAUAAUCCUAAACUCUAUAAACUUAAUAAAAAAACUUAGAAGAUAGAUGUCACAAUGGCCAAGGAAUUCUUAUAUAAUUGUCUAUGAAGGUAGUAUUUUUUGAAUUAGCUGCCCAGUACCUGGGAGCCAUGUGCCAGUGCUUAUGUCUUUACCCAUUGGAGGAAAUUCUGAAAUGUCUUGUAAGAGGAACCACCUUCUCUGACACUACUGAUGGCUUUUUCCUUGAGUUCCAAAGCCCGUGCUUUAAAAUAUUGAUCACCAAGCACUUGAUCCACCUUGUUCUUAAUUUCUUCUCUUGUAAUGAUGCCACUUUCGUCUCUGUCAAACUUCAAUCCCACCUUCCAAAAAUCACAAAUGUAUCUCUCGUUCAGGAAUUGAUCAGCAGAAUAUGGCCAGCACAAGAAAGGAAUGCCAUUGCUGACACCUUCCAUGGUGGAAUUCCAACCACAAUGGCUCAGGAAACAGGCAAUAGAAGGGUGGUUAAGAACCUUCUGCUGAGGUGCCCAGCUGAUCAUCUGUCCUCGAGCAGCAACUCUCUCUUGAAAUCCUUCUGGGUAUCUAUCAUUUGCAUCAGUAGUAAUAUCUGGCCUCACAACCCAUAAAAAUGGUCUGUUGCAAAGUUCUAGUCCCAAUGCUAAUUCUUGAAACUGAACUUGGUCAAGAAUUGUAAGGCUGCCAAAAGCAGCAUAAAUGACAGAGCUUGGUUGCUGUUGGUCUAGCCAUUUCAAACAGUUUGAAUCUUCGCGCCAGAAGUAUCCUGCUGAAUUCCCUUGGCGGUUGCUUGCUAUAAGUGGUCCUAUUGGCAGAAGUUCCGGAAACAUGGUGAAUGCUUCAGACUCGAGCUCAUAUGUUGAGUUACAAAAGUGGAAAUUUACCGCCAUCAUUGCUCUCCUGUUUCUUUCCAGUAAAUCAAAAAAAAUCUUUUGCGUGGUCAAGUCACCAAUAUGUGCCCAAAAACAGUCUCUAGAGUUCAUUUCAGGCAUCUUUGGUGCAAUUCGAAACAUCUGCAUGCUCAUAGGAGUUCCUGAAGUUGAAUACAAAACAAAGAAAAUAACAGUAGCAUAAAGUAAACUACUACUAUGACAUGCAUCAAAAUUAAAGUUUGCUGGAGGAAAGUAAAGAAUUAAAUGACAUGGAAUUAUACCGUGACUGUCAAUGAUUCCAUCAUCAAUAAGUUUGGGGAUACAAAAUACCAAUGCCACUAAUGCUGCUGAUGAAGACCAAAAGACAGCCCCCCUGACGUUCAUCUUUUUUGCUACCUCCAAAGACCAACCCAUGUUCCCAUCUGCAAUGAAACAAUCAAUUUUUUCAUCUUCUCUACUGUUGAUCUCUUCUAUGAGCUUCUCCAGCUUCCCCGGCAUAACCUGUAAAAAAUUUUCAAUUAGCUUUCCGAAAUCGUUUCUAUCUUCCCAGGGUUCCAUCCCAUCUGGGAUCGAAACCAAACGGAUUUGCUCCUCUAGAUAAUUCUUUCCCUGCAAUGAUUCCACUACCCGCUUGUGAUAAUAAUCCGUAUUAACGAAUGUGACUCGGAAGCCAUGUUUUGCCAGACAUUGUGAAAACUCCAGUAAAGGAAUUACAUGGCCUUGUGCUGGACCAGGCAUCACCAAAACGUGUGGGCUGCUCAUUUCCUUUUUUAUUUUUACCUCACUGGUUUGGUUUCUAUCAACCUUGUGCUUUUAUAGGGAUUGUGAGGAGCAGCUCAGCAGCCCAUGUUCGGUUUUCUGUCUUUCUUUUCGUACAAGUAGUAUGUUAUAUGUGUUUAAUUUUGAACCUCAAGCUGGUUAGUGGUUAUCUUCUUAUCUCCCGUUUUUAAGUUCUUUUUGUUCACCCCUUUGUUUUGUUUCCUUCUGCGGUUUGGGUGAUAUGUUUGCUUUUGAACAAACUGCGCCGUUAGAUCCAACGUUUAAAGCAGGAUGCUCGGCUCCAACUUUUCUGGACCCCAAUUUUUAAUGCUCUGUCUACAAUAACUUUUCUGGUUAGUGGUUAUCUUCUUAUCUAUGGUACAGAUUCUGUAACGAACAUCUCCCGUCAUCCCACCAUCCCAUUUUGUAUUGUUUAGUUUCUCACUCCACAUCCAGCCACAUCCAACGGCUGAUGCUGCAGUCUGUAGCUUACAGAUUCUGUAAGCUAGUCAAGUCCUAACUAAAUAAGGUAACUAAAACAAUUUUUCACAUCCUUCCACUAGCAUCUGCUCAAUAUAUAAUAUUUUAAUUUGCAACACACGAGUGGUUUUGAUUACGGGGAGGGUUGGCAAUUUAUAGGUUUGGGCCGGGUUUUCUCAAGAUCAGAUCCAUAUAAUCGAUAUGAGGUUCAGGUCCUGUGAAUGUUCAUCCAACUUGAGCGGGCUUGGGCUUGGGACUUCAAUAAUUUUGUUAAAUAAAUUUUUAAUUAAGUUGUAUGUUAAAAAAAUUUAAAUUAAGAUGAUUAUUAUUAUUAAACAAAAUAAAUAUUAAUUGCUCCCUUGAAUGGGCCUGAACCAGUCACCUCUAAGCAAAUAUUUGUAUUUUUUUUCUUUAUUCCUUUUUCUCUCUUUUUAUUAAUUAUUAUUGUAAAUUAAAAUUAUUUAUUUUUUAGAUAUUAAUUAUGUUUAUGCAUUGUAAUUUACACAGAAGCUUAAGACUCAUGUUUAUUAAAAAUGAUGUUAAUCCAGAAUGGAACGAGAAAUUUAACUCUUUCAAUUAAAAAUGAUUUUUUAAUUUAUAAAUUAAAGAGCCCAAACUUUUUCCAAAAGCCUUUAACCCCGAGUGAGCUUUAAAUUUUUUAGCCAUAUCCAUGAUUUUAUGAUGCUAGGUCCAACCCAUACUUUUUUGCCGACCCUAAUUAUGGGUGAUACUCUAGCUUAGGAUUUUUAUUUCAAUUCUAUUCGAAUCAAAUUAAAUAUGUAAAGGAAUGAAAUUAUUAAUUUAUUUAAUAAAUAAGCAAAUUUAUUUUGAUUCAUUAAAUAAACGAUCAAACCUAGGUUUGAGUUCACUAAUUCAAUUAUUCGUUUAAAAUUUGUUUACUAAUCAGGUCAUAAAUGAAUAGAAUAAUAAAUGACAUUUUUAACAUAAUUACUUGUUUUCCAUUAAAAUUCAAAAAUCUUGUUAAUACAUUUUCAAAGUAAAUUAGUUUUGUAAUUAUGAAAAGAUAAUAAGCCAAAAAAGAAAAUGAAAGCAAAGGCAUCAUUACUCAUUAGCCGACCCUAGCUCCACUCCUAGUUUACUUAUAUAGGAUAACGGAUUUGACUAAUUGUGAAAGUUCACUUGCAUUACUUAAGCAAUUUCUUCAUGAGCAUGUUCCUUUAUAAUAAUGCUAGUAUCUAAACCAGGCACUGGGGAUCCCUUCUCACUCGCUUCAUGCAAAUGCCCAGCAACCAUGUCUCCACCAACAUCACUGAUGUCCCCAAAAAUCAAAAUAAGAAUCCCGAUCGUGGCAGCCAAAAAUGAAACCCCAAAAGCAGUGCUCACAUUUCCACUGAUCGCUGAUGCCACAGCAAAGCCAGUACAAGUUCCUAGUGCUUUUACCCACGAGUGCCAUACAGAAAAAGCACCUUCUUUGCCAUGUGAUGUACAAUCUAGCAACAAAACUCUCCCAAAAGCAUGCAAAAGCCCUGCAGAAGUGCUUUGAAUUGCAGCAAAAAGCAGUACAUGGUGCCUCUGCCAGUUCUUUCCUUGGAGUAGAAUCCCGUACCUGAAGUCAACAGAGCUAAGAGGAAACCCAGAAAUUGCAUUCUCACAGCAUCUGCUUUGAUAACAUGUUGUAACGGAUGCAGUAGUGUCGUUGAAGAUGAUGGUAAUAUGAAGUAAAUUAUCCAUAAGUAGAGGAAAAGUAAAAAAAUAGCCCCAGUGAAAAUGCACAUUGAUGAAAAUCAUGACAUGAAAAUUACAAUCAGGCUUGUAAUUGCAUGAGGAUUUUUAAAAAGGGACAGUGAAUAUGAUUCGGGCAUAGAGGAGGUUGCGUUGGUGAUUGCCCCUGGCUCAGUGUGACAAUAUGGAGCAUGCCAACGAGCCAUUUGAGGACCCUGAAAAUGGACACAAUCCAGAGGCUAACAAAUGGGGCCUUUGUGUUCCUAAGCAUAUGGUAAGUGAAUGCUGAGAAAAUGGCAGAGCCUAAGCCACCACCAGCAGUGGCGUAUACCGAGAACCAGCCUGAGACCCCUCUUCUAGUUGGGGAUUGGCUAAGUUUAAGUGUUGGUCCAGUGUAGCCGCGAGCCAUAAGACCAAGAUGGCGAGUGUGGGAGGCUGAAGCAACAAUGUAUAAUGCAACAAUAGCUGCAAUAUAAAAUGGGAAGAUGCAUGGGGUUUUAAUGAAGCCAACAUGGAGACAAAAGAGGGAACCGAUGGCACUUGCAGCCCUAGCAAUGAGUUGUGGGUUGUAGCCAUGGUCAAGUUGCUUGGAGAUCAAGCCAAGGAAGGGACUAGCCAGAAUUAGGCCUAUAGCCCAUGAAAUUGAAGUCCAUUCCAUUGCUGAUAGAUUCAGAUUAUUCGUUGAUAUUGAUGUGUGUGUUAGUCAAUCAUACCUCCAAUAUAUGAAAAAUAUUUCAUCAUGCUAAAUAUGGACACAUUCAAAACUGACCCUCUGUCUAGUUUAACUGGCCAUGAAUGCGCUUUAUACCCGCGGUCACUCAAGUUUAAGUAAUAAUAAAUCAAGAGUAAGAGUUAAUGAAUUAAUUAAAGGAGAAUGAAUGAAACUUUAUUCCCACUAAGGUCUAAGAAGUUGUUUUUGUUCUUUGGGUUCCGAUAAAUUUUUAAUAGCAUAAUCUGUAAAUCUCUCAAUAUAAUCAUUUUGUAUAUGAAAAUUUCACAUUCACUUAAACAAUAUUUUUUUCUUGUCAAUAUUUUGAGCCAAAUGGUAAUUAAGAGUGAGAAAUUCAUUCUCCCAUAAUAAAAUUAAUAUGCAUAAUUGCAUCUUUUACGUUUUUUACUCUUUAACAGUCUUGGAAUCAAUUCGAUCUUUAAUCCAAUUUUUUGUGAAAAUUACACUCAUGUGCUUUGUAUAUAUAGAAUUUUGAUUGAAUAUUCUACUAAGUAACAAUCGAUGUAGCUAGAAAAAGAACUUACAGUUUGAUCUCUCCGAGAAUACAAGCAAUGCCCCUAGGGGUUUGUCGCCAACCUUGAUCAUCAUCAUCAUCAUCAUCAUUUUUAGAGACAAUUUCACUGAUGAUGAGAGGAAAAACAACGGGCACAACCGUUGUAACAAUGAAGUGUCCAAAUUUCAAGCUUCGAUGGCUUUUCUCGCAGCCCUGAGUAGGCCAUAUAAGCUCCCUCGGACCUCUCAAUUUUCAUUGCAGCAUCGUGUGCCUCAGGCAUGUCUUCAUUCACUUUCUGAUCCUCUACUGAUACCGAUAUUCCUUCAUCAUCACUUAGAACCUCAUGUUUUCUUUCUGCUGCCACCGCUGCUGCCAUAUUCACAUAUUAGUACCAAUUUGGAGGUUGCUUUGUGAAGUUAAAAAAAGGAGCUGAAUUGGCCAGACAUAUAUGUGUAAGUCUCAUUCUUUUUAACUUAUUUGUCUUCUCUCUUUAACGGCAAUGCCAAUUUUAGCAUCGCAUUCUGCUACAACUCAUGCUGAUCAAAGUGUUUCAUAUGAUUUCAAUUUUCCUCAUCACUUCUUUUGCACAGCAAUGAUCGAAUUCCCAGUGUAGAUUCCUUCAUCUGGAGCAAGGCGUUCUGAGCAGUGCUGCAAACAUCCAAGAUCAUAAAAGAUCCAUUUAACAGCUCAUCAACCCAUUUCUUCUUCUGGUGGCCGUUGGCUAAAGCUUGUUGAACGAGGGGCAAUUGAAGUGUUUUUUUUUUUCAACAGAAUCGCAUGAAUCUUGAAGGCAAUUUAAUUCAUGGCCUAAUGAUGAAGUAGAAACAGCUUGAGAAGUCCUUAAUCUUUACAAAUGCUCUUCAACUUCUGAAGUCUUUGAGUGCGAUCUUGUGGAAAGCUGUUUGAGCGAGUAUGGUAAGAGGCAGCCAUUGCUUUUUUUACUUUGAAUUAGAAGGUUAGAAGUUGAUUACCUUGUGCUCAAAUCUCAAUAUAUAUUGCACGAGAUGAGGGAACAAGAGGUAUGUCAUCCUCUUAAAAUAAAAAGAAACGAUAACAUGAUUUCGAGCCUGAUCUAAAUAUUGUAUCGGCUACUUUUAGGCUUAGUCUCCUCCCACACCAGCAUCCUAUCUCAGCUUUUUUAGCCACAAAUCUCACUAGUAUCUUCUCAUAAGCUAAUACUAAAUAAACAAAUGUUUCUGAGUGAUCCAUAAAAUAGGCAAUACAAGGAUGGCAUCAAUUCUGUUUCCUCUUCUAAAAUGCAAGAGACGCUAAUCCAGUUUGGCUUGGCUCCCCGCGGGAAAUAGGCAGAAUUGAUUUAUUUGAACUGGAUAUAAUAUGCAAAAUCUGCAGUGCAUGGGUAGUUAUGCCGCCAAAUUAAAGCAGGCCCAAAAAAGAUCUGCGCUGUUCAUUGCAGGCAUAUUUGGUGCCAAAUGAAUCGCUUGUUUCUUAAGAGACUGACUCCUCACACUAUAGUAACAACUAAUAACAUUCAUUGUCUGCAUUGAAAAAAAUUAACUGCAUAGGAAAACAAAUUAAAUUAAAACUCAGUUAAAUAAAAUAUUCCUAAACCCUAUAGACUUAAUUAAAAAAACUGAAAAAAAUGCAUGUUACAAUGGCCAAGGUAUCCUUCUAUAAUUGUCUACGAAGGUAGUAUUUUUUGAAUUAACCGCCCAUUACUGGGGAAUUAUGUGCCAGGGCGUUUGUCUUUACCCAUUCAAGGAAAUUCUGAAAUGUCUUGCGAGAGGAACCACCUUCUCUGAUGCUGCUCAUGGCUUUUUCCUUGAGUUCCAAAGCCCGUGCUUUAAAAUCUUGAUGACCAAGCACUUGAUCCACCUUGUUCUUAAUUUCUUCUCUUGUAAUGAUGCCACUUUCGUUUUUGUCAAACCUCAAUCCCACCUUCCAAAUAUCACAAAUGUAUUUCUCGUUCAGGAAUUGUUCAGCAAAAUAUGGCCAGCACAAGAAAGGAAUGCCAUUGCUAACACCUUCCAUGGUGGAAUUCCAACCACAAUGGCUCAGGAAACAGGCAAUAGAAGGAUGGUUAAGAACCUUCUGCUGAGGUGCCCAGCCGAUCAUCCGUCCUCGAGCAGAAACUCUCUCUUGGAAUCCGUCUGGGUAUCUAUCAUUUGCAUCAGUGGUAAUAUCUGGCCUUACAACCCAUAAAAAUGGUCUGUUGCAGAGUUCUAGUCCAAAUGCCAAUUCUUGAAACUGAACUUGGUCAAGAAUUGUAAAGCUGCCAAAAGCAGCAUAAAGGACAGAGCUCGGUUGCUGCUGGUCUAGCCACUCCAAACAGCUUGAGUCUUCGCGCCAGAAGUGUCCUGCUGAAUUCCCUAGACGGUUGCCAGCCAAAAGUGGUCCUAUUGGCAGAAGUUCCGGAACCACGGUGAAUGCCUCAGACUCGAGCUCAUACGUUGAGUGACACAACUGGAAAUUUACCGCUCUCAUUGCUCUCAUGUUUCUAUCCAGUAAAUCAAAAAUAAUCUUUUGCGUGUUCAAGUCACCAAUAUUUGUCCAAAAACAGUCUCCAGAGUUCAUUUCAGGCAUAUUUGGUGCAAUCCGAAACAUCUGCUUGCUCAUAGGAGUUCCUGAAGUUGAAUACAAACAAAAAAAAUUGCAAUAGCAUAAAAAAAAACUACUACUUUGACAUGCAUCAAAAUUAAAGCCUGCUGGAGGAAAGUCAGGAAUUAAAUGACAUAGAAUCAUAC